rnacentral:rRNA from 1 species
CCUACGGGUGGCAGCAGUGAGGAAUAUUGGUCAAUGGCCGGAAGGCUGAACCAGCCAAGUCGCGUGAAGGAGGAAGGAUCUAUGGGUUGUAAACUUCUUUUAUAGGGGAAUAAAGGGAGCCACGUGUGGAGAUUGGCAUGUACCCGAUGAAUAAGCAUCGGCUAACUCCGUGCCAGCAGCCGCGGUAAUACGGAGGAUGCGAGCGUUAUCCGGAUUUAUUGGGUUUAAAGGGUGCGUAGGUGGUUUUUUAAGUCAGCGGUUAAAGUUUGUGGCUCAACCAUAACAUUGCCGUUGAAACUGGCUGCCUUGAGUGUGUUUGAGGUAGGCGGAAUGCGUGGUGUAGCGGUGAAAUGCAUCGAUAUCACGCAGAACUCCGAUUGCGAAGGCAGCUUAC